CCGCUAUUUCUUCGGCUGACUGGAUCCUAAUCCAAUUGGGAAUCGAAUUUGUUUUGAUCUCAAAUUCCUUCGAUCGACAGCUAUUUAAGGUCUCAACACUCCUUUGCGAUCAAUCCCCCAUCUUGAUCUUUCUUCUUCCCUGCUGUUCUCUGGAAGCCGCGGAUUGGAUUCAUUUGCUCUCGCCAGAUAAACUUCGCCGGAAGUAAGUUCUGCAGAAAUGGUGAAUCGUGAGCGGCUAGAGAGAAACAGCAAGAUGCUGACACUGACAUCAUCAAGAGAGCAGAAACGGAAGCGGACAUCACAGGAGCAGGAGCGGACAUCACUCGAAGCAGCAGUACACGGAGCAAUCGAAGCAGCAGUACAACGAGACCCGGAAAAUUUGAUUAAAUUCAUCGCGCCGUUGGAGAGAAACGUCAAGAUUAUGGUAGCCCAAUUCGAAGCUAAAAACAUGAAGGAUGUAGCCGACAUUCUGCGUGACGUCCCUGAUAGACUUGCAAAUGCUCUUGGAAGAAUCGCAGAACUAGAUAGACCCAAGAAUGAGGAUGCAAGGACGUGACCCGAAGACGAAAUGUGGAUAGACGAAGCCAUAACUUAUAAAUUUUUGCAGGGUUUGAUCGCAAUAAUUUUUUCAAUCUCAUAGUGACUAAGCAGAUGGCAGUUCGUAGGGAGAAAAUAGAGUUUGACAGCAGCACUCAUUUUUCUCAAUUGAUUUUAGAUUGCGUAGUAUUGGUAGUGCUAGGGAUUGGUGGUGAAUAAGUUUAGUGGGAUUUGUUGAGCGAUUGGAAACAUUUUUUAUUGUUAAUAAA